rnacentral:rRNA from 1 species
GAAGGGGGCUAGCGUUGUUCGGAAUUACUGGGCGUAAAGCGUACGUAGGCGGAUUUGUAAGUAGGGGGUGAAAUCCCCAGGCUCAACCUGGGAACUGCCUUCUAGACUGCAAGUCUUGAGAUCAGGAGAGGCGAGUGGAAUUCCGAGUGUAGAGGUGAAAUUCGUAGAUAUUCGGAGGAACACCAGUGGCGUAGGCGACUCGCUGGACUGAUACUGACGCUGAGGUACGAAAGCGUGGGGAGCAAACAGGAUUAGAUACCCUGGUAGUCCACGCCUUAAACGAUGAGAGCUAGUUGUCAGUAAGCAUGCUUAUUGGUGACGCAGCUAACGCAUUAAGCUCUCCGCCUGGGGAGUACGGCCGCAAGGUUA